rnacentral:misc_RNA from 1 species
ACGUAUCUCUGAACGGGGUGCGGCCUGCCCUGCUCCGGUCCAAACGGGCCGUGCAGCGGGCGGUCGUCCCUGCUCAAACCUCACAAACCCCACUGUGAACCUUCACGGCGGAGGGGGCCUGGUGCUUGCGCUGGUGCCCCCGAUGCCGCAUACCAAACCCCAGUUGCAAAGAAUGUAUUGCGGACCUUGCGCCGCCUAAAACACAUAA